rnacentral:lncRNA from 1 species
CUUGCUAACGAUGGAGCCUCAAAAUAUUUCGUUUGAAAUUUCAUAACACAAUAUAGCGUGAGAUUUUGCAAUUUUAAGGAAUACGGUGCAAUCUUUUUCAAGAAUAUCAUACGAAUUUUUUUCUACUUCGAUCCGCCGUUACAUGUUGUCACAAUUGACGUGUGUUAGAAGGAUUGUCAAGAGAAUCGGCUCAGGUAUGUUAAGGCUAUCCCUUCUUUCUUUUUGGCAUGAUCAAUACGAUACAAACGAAACGAGCAAAUGCACAACUUCCAUAAAUUCUAUUCAUAGAAAUACUAGGGGUGUCUAUAUUCUUGAUUCCCCAUGUGAAUUAUUAUUAUAUUUUCUGUUCAUGGGUCUCAGAAAAAUACGUAGUUGAUGAAGUUUAUCCGAAAGGCAUAUUGAUUUUAUGACAUUCCGAGAAAUCUUAUUAACGUAUUUCAUAUGCAUUUCAUUCAUUUAUACAUGAACAUUGACCCAUGACCAGAUGACGUUAUAUACGCGUAUAUUAUAUGUAUAUGAAAUAUGGGAAAAUGUUAUGGCGUUAUAUAUGCACCACCACCUGAUCAGCUGGUAUACGUUGAUGAUUUGCCCACAGUAGCCGAGAUGAUAUAAUGGGAUGCCCUCCGAGGCUU